GCCUUUUUUUUUUUUUAAUCCAUGUUGCUCUUUCCUAGGCUAACAAAAGUAACAAGUAUUGUAUAUAUAGUUUUUCUUUUUCAUGGAUAUGUGAACUCUUAACACAAGAAUUUGUAGUUUACUCAUAUUUAGAUAGGAUGUUUAAAUUAUCUAAAAGUUUUUCAGUAGAUGGGCUUCCAAUUUAUGAGAAUGGGAGCUGUUACUGGCCAGUGCUAUCCUUUAUUCUUAACUUGAUAAAUCCUUUAAGAAAAACUGAACUUGUAAACAUUGGAAGUCUCGUGCACUAGAACACCUUCUUAUAUAUCAAGGAAAGAAAAUAAUCUCAAAGCAGAGUCAUAAUAAAAAAAAAAUAAUAAUGCAGGAAACAGCUGUCAGUUAGCUAAUUUGGGUUAGAUUUAAAAAAAGCAAAUCUGUCGAGAAUUUGUGACAAUGGAAUUGAUCACUUCAAAAAUAUUUUGAGAAUGUAUCCUUUUUUAUUUUUUCCUGAUCUAUCAUGAAAUAUUUUAUUCUUUUUGGCUUGAGAACUUUUAUUGAGAGUUGGUUCAUUUAAUUGCAGAAUGUACGUUGCUUGUUAUCAGUUGAGGGUAUCAAUGUCAAUGCAACUAACAAGGCUGGAGAGACCCCCCUUGACAUUGCAGAAAAACUUGACACUUCAGAAAUUCUGUCCAUGUUGAAGGAUGUGGGCGCCGUCAAUUCUAAAGAUCUUGGAAAACCACCAAAUCCAGCAAAGCAACUUAAGCAGACUGUCAGUGACAUAAAACAUGAUGUCCAGUCCCAGCUUCAACAGACCCGUCAAACGCGUGUCAAAGUGCAGAAGAUUGCAAAGAGGUUGAAGAAACUCCAUAUUAGUGGCCUCAACAAUGCUAUAAAUUCUGCAACUGUUGUUGCUGUGCUCAUAGCCACAGUCGCUUUUGCUGCCAUUUUCACUGUGCCUGGGCAAUAUGUUGAGGGUAAAGAAGAAGGAACGUCUCUAGGGCAAGCCCAUAUAGCAAAAAAUCCAGCUUUCUUAGUCUUCUGUGUGUUUGAUAGCCUGGCAUUAUUCAUUUCUCUAGCUGUUGUCAUUGUCCAAACGUCUGUUGUUGUGAGUGAACAGAAGGCAAAGAAGCAGCUUGUGUUUGUUAUCAACAAGAUCAUGUGGCUGGCUUGCCUCUUCAUUUCAGUUGCCUUUAUUUCUCUCACUUAUGUGGUGGUGGGUCAGAAGUCAAGGUGGCUUGCUAUUUGUGCAACAAUAAUUGGUGGUUCAAUCAUGCUUACUACAAUUGGAUCUAUGUGCUAUUGCGUGAUUUUGCAUAGAAUGGAGGAGUCAAGAUUGAGGAGUAUAAGGAGGGAGAGUCAAUCUGGUUCUUACUCUAUGUCUAUGGUAUCAGAGCCGGAGGUCCUAGAAGGUGAAUAUAAAAGGAUGUAUGCACUGUAAGGACAUCAGGAUGGAAAGAAAUGGAUCAACUAUGAAUAACAGACCUAUUAUUCUCAUCUAUAUUAUGAAGAUAGCUAUAUGAUGCUAAUGAUUUUAAUGGUAAUGAAAUUUUCUUGCAAGUUGUGCUGAGGUGUUGCAUCACUAGAACAAUAUGAAGAGACGAAAAGAGUACUAUGAUUCAGCAAUUGAAAGACACCUAUUCAUAUGCUCAUCGUUUUUGUUUUCUGCAAGAAAGCUCCCUUGACAAGAUGCUGGUUUUUUGGUGAAACAUUCACACAAUGGUGAGCUCUGAUUACUGUCUGGAUCUGAUUUACAAGUAGUUACAGAUUUGAUCAAGACUCAAAAGUGGGCAGAAGUUUUUGAAGACUGAUGCCAUUUCUUGGGUCCGGUUGGAUUGUAUUUUGUAUGCAUGAGAAAAUGUUGUAGUGUAAUUAUCUUUAAUAGUUAAUCUACAAAAGCUUAGCUACAUGGUAUUGAUUUUCUUUCCAGCUUCCUUGUGUUUGUUUGGUGAAAAAUAAUUUAUAAAUUGAAAAUAUUUUUCAUAUAAAUUAUUUUCAAUGAAAAUAUUUUUCAUUAUUUGGUUGUAGUGUUAAUGAGAUCUAUUUAUGUAAUGUAUAUAUAAAUCUUUGGCCUCUUUAUUAAUUAUCAAA
rnacentral:misc_RNA from 1 species